rnacentral:rRNA from 1 species
UGACCGCUGGCGGCGUGCCUACUACAUGCAAGUCGAGCGAACGGACGAGAAGCUUGCUUUUCUGAUGUUAGCGGCGGACGGGUGAGUAACACGUGGAUAACCUACCUAUAAGACUGGGAUAACUUCGGGAAACCGGAGCUAAUACCGGAUAAUAUUUUGAACCGCAUGGUUCAAAAGUGAAAGACGGUCUUGCUGUCACUUAUAGAUGGAUCCGCGCUGCAUUAGCUAGUUGGUAAGGUAACGGCUUACCAAGGCAACGAUGCAUAGCCGACCUGAGAGGGUGAUCGGCCACACUGGAACUGAGACACGGUCCAGACUCCUACGGGAGGCAGCAGUAGGGAAUCUUCCGCAAUGGGCGAAAGCCUGACGGAGCAACGCCGCGUGAGUGAUGAAGGUCUUCGGAUCGUAAAACUCUGUUAUUAGGGAAGAACAUAUGUGCAAGUAACUGUGCACAUCUUGACGGUACCUAAUCAGAAAGCCACGGCUAACUACGUG